rnacentral:sRNA from 1 species
AUGAGCGUGAGCGUGAUAGCGGGGGCGGCGCUUUCUGCAUUUUUUAAUGUGCUUUUCGACAGAUUGUCUGGACGAUGCGAUUUGCUACACAGACGUCGGCGGAGAUUGCAACUCCGGCUGGAAUUGCUAGAAACAAAAUUGAGAGAAAUGUUGGAUGUAUUGGACCGUAUAGAUUCCUUGAAUCGACCAAGCGAUGCUAUGAAUGAUUGGGCAAAAAUAGCAAAGGAUGUUGUUUGCUCCAUAGAUGUUUUGUUGGCCGAUCUCAUGAGCAAAAGUGCUAGGAGGUAUUUCUCUGAUAUAUUUCUUGAAUUCCAGUUUAGACAGAAGGUAAACAGCUACGUGUUAAGUAUCAAUGAUCUGUUAGAUAGAAAUGAUUUCUUUGAUAUUGAAGGGUCCAACUCCUUGACUCAAAGAAGCAUUCAAUAUUCUAAGGAAACUGUUGUCAUCGGCUUGGAGGAGCAAGUAAAUGAAAUAACGGAAAGGUUGCUCUCACUUGAUGAACUCCAUCGGGGUCGCUGCGUCUUUUUUAUUGUGGGAAUGGAAGGCUCCGGUAAGACAUUCCUUGCAAAAUCAAUCUAUGCCAAUAAUGCUGCCCAUUUUCAUACUCAUGCUUGGGUUUCUAUAUCUCAAGAGCGUAGUGCUGAAGAUAUUCUGCAAGACAUAAUGGAAAAAGUAAUAGGAUCUGAUCAUCAAGAACUAAAAGGGAAGCAGAGCCUUAAAGAAGAACUAAAGCAAAUGCUUCAGAAUUUCUUGAGAGAAAAGAGGUACCUCAUAGUUCUGGAUAAGAUCCCCAUGUCCGGAGUCUGGGAUGAUCUCAAAGACGCAUUCCCAGAUCAAUCAAAUGGGAGCAGAAUCAUGAUCACUACUCGGGACAUGGAUUCGCCUCUGGAUGCUGACUCAGGAAUCUUUCAUUACAAAAUGCAAUUGCUAAGUACUGAUGAGAGUUGGAGAUUAUUUAAAAACACUUUGCUGAUGGACAUCCCCGAAGAACUGGAAGAAGUCGGAAGAACAAUUGUGAUUUGCUGUCGUGGUUUGCCACUGACAAUCAAAAAAAUGGGGGAACUGCUGUCAGAUAAAGAAGCAACCAAAGAGGAAUGGACAAGGGUGCUAAACAUGCUCAAAGAAGACCCAGGACCCUGGUCAGAAAUAUCAUACAAGGUCCUUGGGGAAUCUCCCCUAGAUUUGAAAAGAUGUCUACAAUAUUUCCUCUUGUUCCCUGAAGAAUUUGAGAUCCCUGCAAGAAGAAUAAUCAGAUUGUGGGUUGCUGAGGGGUAUUUGUUUAAACUAAAAAGGACUGAAGAAUUUUCUGAUAUUUCAAAUGAGGAAGUUGCUGAGAAUUCUCUGAUGAAGCUGAUAGAUUUGAACUUUGUUCAAGUAACAAAGAAGAAGCAGAAUGGUAAAGUCAGAAGUUGUCGUCUUCCUUUUGCAUUAAGGAGAGACUCGUCAUUUGAAAGACUAGUCAACACAGCUUCCGAAUCAUCUUCAGGGCUUCAGGAGAAAGUUUGGGUUUUUGAUCAUUACAACAGCACAGAACCCAGCGAAACCAGCAGUCAUAUUCAUGGUGACAACACCGACAAUUCUACCCUGCAGGCCUCUUAUGAAAAAUCUCUAUCGUUUUUGUCCUUUGAUUUUCGAGAAGGAAGCCAGGCUGGGGAAGAGAUAGGAAACUUUCUUGAUCGGUGCAUUUCCUGCAGAUGCUUCCUAUGGCUGCGGGUGCUUGAUCUUGAACGUGUUUUCAGACCUCAAUUGCCAAAGGUACUGAGUAAGCUGGUUUCGAUGAGGUACCUUGGCUUGAGAUGGACUUACCUAGAGUCAUUUCCGUCAUCCAUAAGCAACUUGCUGCAACUCCAAACAUUAGAUGUGAAGCACACUUACAUCAGUUCUCUCCCUCAAUCUAUUUGGAAGAUGCAACGAUUGCGGCACUUGUAUUUGAGCGAGAGUUAUCGCAGUAGAUUUGGGCCUCCACCAAGAGGUGCUUCAUUAAAAGACCUUCAAACUUUAUGGGGCGUGUUCGUGGACGAGAAAAGUCCAGUGAAGGAUGGCUUGGACACGUUGAUCAAUCUUAGAAAAUUCGGUGUGGCAUGCCGGUGCAUGUCAACUAAAGAGGAUGCAAAUAAUGCAAUGUCAUUGCAACUGGAAGCAGUGGCCGAAUGGAUUCAAAAACUAAAACGCACUCUUCAGUCUUUAAGGCUGAAAUCACAUGAUGAAAACAAUCAACCUUGGGAUCUACACUUACAGUCUUUGUUAGGCCAUACAAAUCUCUCCAGUAUAUAUCUUCUUGGAAGGUUAAAAACUCCAUCUGUCAUCUCUGUAUUUCCAGAUAACCUUAUUGAGAUUACCUUGUCAGCAUCAGCACUAAGUGAAAGUGAAGAUCCCAUGCAAAAGUUUAAUAAACUUCCAAAACUGAGGAUUCUUCAGUUAUUCUCUAAAUCUUAUAUGGGGAAGAAUAUGUGCUGCCCUAAAGACAGCUUUCCUCAGCUUCGAGUUCUUAAACUAUGGAAGCUAGAGGAGCUGGAGGACUGGAUUGUAUUGGGAGGAGCACUGCCUCGUCUCAGAGAUUUAGAUAUCAGAUCCUGUGCAAAGCUGCAUAAGCUUCCCGAUUGCCCUAAAGACAGCUUUCCUCAGCUUCAAGUUCUUAAACUAUGGAAGCUAGAGGAGCUGGAGGACUGGAUUGUAUUGGGAGGAGGACUGCCUCGACUCAGAGAUUUAGAGAUCAGAUCCUGUGCAAAGCUGCAUAAGCUUCCUGAUGGAUUGCAGCAUGUUACGACUCUCCGAGAAUUGAAACUGUCAAACAUGCCAGGGGAGUUCACAGAACAGAUUAAGGAUAGAAACAGUGAGGACUGGGGCAAAUUAGCACAUGUGCGCCAUGUUAGCAUUGAACCCUGAGGUACCUCCAGUUCUUAUUAGUACGUAUUCCUUUACUUUUACCAGUAGCAUUGUGAACCUCAUAAUUUAUAGUUUGAUUUUCUUACUGUUAAUUUGCAAGCUAGUAAUCUUUUCCAGAUUAUUUACAUGCUAGUUAUCGUUCUUAUUAAUCAAUUGCUGAACUAGUGUUCCAUUUCUUUUGUCGUGAAGGAAUCAAUGCAGCGAUUCAUUACAUAUGAUAAUCGUUGGAAAUUUAUCACUGCAUCCAGUAUCCAGAGAUGUCUUUUCUGGCUUCUAUUCAAGUUUCUUGUGUUUCCAGAGGAUGACAAACUUCUGCAAAAUAAAUGUCAGUUAUUCUAACUGCUUUGUGGACGGGUGAGAUAGUAAGGCCAAUGCCGAUACAAGGAAAGGAAUUUCAGAAACACUGGGGAGGACAUCGAGCUCACUCCAAGGACACUAUCAGAUGUUAGCUCUUCCUUUCAUGUGAUGAUUUAUUUCAGGGGUAUCACCAGUAGCAGGCUUGGCUGCAGCUAUAUCAUUCCUUGACCUUCUUGUGCUUUUUUAUUUUAUUUUUUUCCUGUUCUUAUUGUUAUUUGCUGCUUCUCGUGUUUUUAUAUUUAAAUGUGAUUGUUGUGAUGUAUUCUAAAACCAGUGCUUAUGUCAGAACCUUUUUUCUUUCCUGAAAAUUCUGCAUGUUAGAAAUUUUGGACGGGGCCUAAUGAAUGAGUAAACUCACAAUGGAGUUGGUCCAAUCCAAAACCAAGACUUAAUUGAUAUUUCCCUUAGUUUCCUAAAAGUAAUCAUUCAUGAAAAAUUCCAUAAAUAAAGGUAGUAUAACCAUUGUGUGUGCGUGUGUAUGUGUGAGAAAUAGAAGAAAAACAUUCUCUAUCUCUUACUUUCAUUUCUAUUAUCUGAAAAGUGUUUAUAGACUGUAGAUUAGAGUGUUUUUCUCUAGAGUCAUCAUCUUCUUGUGGGGUUUACUCAAACUCAUAGCUCUCCCUUUACUGUGUAGCUCUGGCUUUCCUGGGUCUCCCAAAAACUCUCUUUGGUAUUCAAUUCAACUUUGUCUCUAAUCCUAGGUCUCUCCAUCUUCCUUCACUUCAUCUCAUUCUCCGUUAGGAGUCCUAAUCUAUCAGUUUGUAGUCCGUUAGGAGUCCUAAUCUAUCAGUUUGUAGUGUUCUUCUCAAAGCACUCCAUAUGUUUGUGCUUUUGCCUAAAAGAGUUUUGUAGGCUGUCGCAGAAGAUCGUAUUAGCUGAGCAUUUUUUUUAAGUCUGUUGGAUUAGUGGUUGCGUGUAAACAGGGGCGGACCCACGUUGGGGCAGAGGGGUGCCAUUGCCCCCCCCACCCCCCCCCCAAAAACAAAAAUUAUAAAUUAAAAAAAAAUAGUAAAAAAAAAAUUAAGAAAAAUUAAGAUUUGCUCUUAUAUAUAUAUAUAUAUAUUUGUCUUUCUUUAUCUAAAAUAUUUAGAUAUUGACCUACAAGAAAAUAAAUAAAUAAAUAAAUAAAAUUCAUGCCCCUUUAACUAUAAAAAACAAAAUUAAAAAAUAAAUAUGGACUGAACAAAAAUCGCGGACAAAAUAAGAAACAUUUAUUUUGUAUGUUAUACUUUAUUGAUGUGUUUUAUAAUAUGAAAUGUUUAAGAAAUACUUAUUUUGUAUGUAGUAUUUUGUUGAAUAUGAAAUAGAUAUUAGUUUUUAUUUUCAUAAGUUUUUUUUUUGGUUUUAAGCUUUAGCCCCCCUCAGGUAUGAAUCCUAGUUCCGUCCCUGCGUGUAGAAGAUCGUAAGGGGUAAGAGGUUUAAGAUGAAAGGUGAGCAACAUGCUAAACGGGGUUGAUGACAUCUGAUGUUGAAGGCAAGGAGUAAUUUUCUGCUUGCUGUUUCAAUUUCCUCUUUCAUGAUAUUAAUGUUAACAAACGCUUAUUGGUUUAUAAACUAUUUUAGGAACAUUUUUAUAAAAAAUGAUAAAAUAAUUAAUUUGUUGACUACUUUUUAUAUUUCGUAUAAAAUUUAUGUCAAAACUUUCUUAAUAUAUUUUAUUAACAAUGAGAGAUGUUACGUCUACAACAAUUUUACAACAUUUUUACAAUAAAUCACAGGUGGUUAAUUGUUAUUGGUUCAAAUUUGAAACUAACACUAAGAUUACUUUUUUGCCCCAACAAUAACAACCAAUAAUAACCUGCCACUUAGGAAAUGUUGUAGAAAUGUUGUAAAAAUGUUGUAGACAUGGCAUUUCUCUUUUUGUCUUAAAAACACUGGUUAACAUAACCCUAUUUAAUCCAUUUUAUGUUAUAUUUCUCAAACUUUCUUAAAAUUAUAUUUCUCAAACUUAUUUUAUUUAUUUAUACAGAAGCUAUUUGAUCCAUUUUAUGUUAUAUUUAGUGCUUUUCUAAUGAAAGAGUAAAGUGAGUUACUACUGCCUAACAUAAUUAACUUUAAGUAAGUAAAGUGACAAUUUUUGAACCACAGGUAGGCAAAGUAAAUUUAAGUCUAGUCUUAUAAUAUGUAAUUAUUACUAUAUCUUAUCUUUCCCCUUAAAUGUAUUUUGAACCAAUUUCUAGCUAAUGCUUGGGGUGUUAGUCACCGUGAUUUAUUUACUCUUAUUUAUGUCUAAUGAAUUUCCUUUUUCACCAAAAAGUUGUUGUUGUUGUUGUUGCUGUUAUUAUUAUUAUUAGAGAUAAAUAGUUGAGCAAUUUGUUUUUUUUUUUAAUUGUUAUAUAUAAUAAAGAUAAAUAUUUAAGCGUUUUUCUUCUUCUUCUUUUUAUUGUUAUAUAUAAUUCUUACAAUAAUUUAGAAAUUGGAUUUGAAGCCUAAUUCUCCUUAUAAGAGAGAUCAAUAUAUAUAUAUAUAUAUAUAUUUUUUUUUUUUUUUUUUUUCAGAGAACCUCUUUUCAUCUUGAUUCUUGAUUUCUUAGGCAUUAUUUUUCCCCCCAAAAUAUAAAUAAGGUACGCACNUUUUUUUUUUGCAGAGAACCUCUUUUCAUCUUGAUUCUUGAUUUCUUAGGCAUUAUUUUUCCCCCCAAAAUAUAAAUAAGGUACGCACGGAGGGGAAAGAGUUGUAAUGUGACUCCACACCUCAAUACUAAAAUGUAAUUGUGAAAAUUAAGGAUUGCUAAAACGCCCCACCUUACUUGAUCUGUCCCAUCCUGCAUUGCCCCAUGUAAAAUUUCCCCAUCUCGACGAGGUUAUGUGGCAGGAAUGAGUUUUGUUUGCCUUGCCCUAUCUUGCCAUGCAUAGCCGUAAAUGUAUAUAUACAUAUAUUAUUUAAUAUAUAUUUAAAUUAUUUAUACAUAAUUACAUACAAUUUAAUCUUUUCUAUACAUAUCUUAAUUAAAAUUUAUUUAUUUUGAUAUAUUUAAACUUGUCUCUCUUUCUCUCUUAGUGCUCUUACCAUUGUUUUGUCUCUUUAUAUUUUAUCUUUAUCUCAUCACUCUCAUUAUGAUUAUUAAAAUGACUCCAUUCUACCCUAAAUUGACUUAUCCCGCUCCCAUCCCACCAAGGACAGAAGCAUACAUUGACCAUGGCAGGAUGGCCCCCCCUAAUUUUUUUUUAAAAAGAUAUUAGUAUAUAUUUGCAUUAAUUUUAGCAAUUUUUUCUAUAAAAUUAUAUUUUGCCCCCCUUAACAAUAUCAUUAAUUAUUUUUAGAGUAACAUUACAGUUACAAACUUAUCUACAACAUUUUUGCAAAUUGCUGAAGUAUAAAUUCUUAUUAGUUCGCAUUUAGACCUAUCACUUACAUCAUUUUUUUACUUACCAAUAAUCGUUCACUAUAUCAACAAUAUACCUCUAGCAUUUUCCUCAUUUUAAAGGAAAUUAAAAGUUUAUAGAUCUAAAUUCUAAAACAACAUAUACUAGCCCAAAAAACAUUUGUGCAACAACAAAAAUCACCAAUAGCAAAGCUAAAAAAAAUUAAGUCCAAUUAAUCAAUUUUACUCAAACAAACAACUGACCCUUUAAAAAGUUUCAAACAGAAUAAUUUUGUCUAGAUGCACACAUCAAAAACUAAAAAAAUAAAUAAAUAAAUAUAAAAUAAAUUUAUAAAAAUAAAAAUAAAUAAAUAAAUAAAUAAAACCUCAAUAGUUAAGAGACCACCGAGCUAGAGGUCAGGGUCGCCCUCCUUACUCAAAAUUCUGGCUCUAUCUCUGCGCCCCACGUGGAGAAGAGGAGAUUGGAUGUGAACAAGGCACUUACUUUCCGACUUCGUCCCGCAUUAUUGCCAUUAAAAAUAAAAAAUAUAAAAUAAAAUAGAAAAAAGAAGAAUGAAAGAAAGAAAAACUCUUCCUAUUAUUUUUAUCUUAACCUUUUCAGACGUGUCAACCCAUCAAACGUGUAAGCUACAAUAUUUCUCAGUGGGUAGUGACUCUUGUCUCGAUUCAGUUAGAAACAAGUAUGUGUAUAACAACCAUUGCUCAUGCUCAAAACAACCGGUUAUGUAAUAUGUUGUAACUGACGUUAUGUACACACUAUACAUUGUUGGAUUGUGGAAUCUGGUGUGAUUUCAUUUUUCACCAGUUUUUCAAGGGUGAUUCAGCUUUUCAAAGACGAUAACGGCCUAGCUAUUCGUUUGGUAACAAGCUGUUCACUGCCAAGUAGCUUGAGCUACGUACCCUACCAAAAUUGUUCUAACUUCUAAUAUUUAUAAACACAAUUAAAACAGAGAUUAUACCAUAUUAUGCCCAUGACGUUUUUAUUAUUUCCUUUUGAGGUUCAUGCUUAUAAAUUUUUCGUCUAUUCUGUUUUUAGGAUUAAUUAUUUGACAAAAAAAUCAAUUUAAAUAUUGCCUUUUUCUUCAAAUAUAUGCUUUUUAUGUAAUUCAUAUUUGGACUUUAAAAUGUAUAAUAAUAAUAAUAAUAAUAUAUAUAUAUAUAUAUAUCAAUAUUAAUUUGAUGGGGAUUGAUGGGAUUGUAGGAAAUUGUGGGGAAGAAUUGGUUUAAUUUGAGGUAGUCACCCUCUAUAAAUAAAUACUAAGAGAGAAAUAUAAUGUACUAAAUAGUAAAUAAUGAAUUUGUUUAUUCUUCAAGAUAUAUCAAAUGAUGGUUACAUGCUAUUUAUAGAUCUCAAGCUCUCUCUUUUUUUUCUUUUUUUUCUUUUUUUUUUUUUUUGAUGGGGAACUCAAGUUCUCUUAUGGUUUGUUUGGAUGGAGAGAGAGGGAGGGGGAGUAAAGUAAAAUAGAGUAAAUUUAGCCCAAAAUUAGCCUAUUUUCAGCCAACUCUACUCUACUCUCCUCCACUUCCCCUCUUUCCCCCCUCAAUCCAAACAGGCCAUUACUAUUGGGCAUACUCGACUUAAUCCUAUUGGCUUACUAAUUAAGCAUGCACCAAUUAACCUAUGUGAUUAUAGUGUUACAUGUGCCAAUGACUCUUACUAACUCUAUAUUAAUCCCAUCACUUGUAACUAACUAAUGACAAGGAUUACAAUAGAAUUGCAAUUGCAAUGUGGGCUUCCUAACAUAAUUAAGCUCAUUAUCAAAUGAGUUUGGAGGUUGAAAUCACAAAAUGUACAAGCUUUAGGAUAAGUGGCAUGAUGAUAAAAUUUAAAAUUUGUGUUAUCUAGCAUUCUCUCCAUGGUGACAGCUUUGAAACUUAUGAGUUAUGAUAUUAACUCUAUGAUGAUUAUUGUUUGCCAUUAGACUAAGACAUCAAUUAGUCUGUCCCUCCCAUGAUGAAUGAUUUAAAAUAUAUAAUGUCCUUUUCAUGGUGAAAUAUUUGAAACUUUUUUUAGAAACUUAUAAUAUAUAUUCGUUAUAAUUUCUUUUUAGUAUAAGCUCAAUACACCAAUUUUUUUUUAAAAAUAAGAUUCAAAUCUAUGUCCUUUAUUCUCUAAAAAAAGAAAUUAUAUACUCUCCAUAACAAACUUUAUUAAUUGAGCUAAUUCCAACUUAUAACUUCACAUGCCUUUCAAAUUACCUUUGUGUAUAACUUAAACCUAAUUUUGUAAAUAUUAUUUUGCGAGGAACUAACUCAUUAUUUGUUGGUGUGCUAGGUGGGAAAAAUAUAAGCAUAAAUUACUUGCUUGGGGCAUAAACUUUUCCCAAAAUAGAUUUUUCAAAAAAGUUUGCAACGUGAUUCCCACCUUAGGGCCAAAAUGUAAUUGUGAAAAUAGAGAAAGCUCAAUAAUUUUUUUUUUUUUAAAUCUUAAAGAUUAAUCAGAUGUGUCACCCAAUGAAAACGUGUAAACUACAUAAUUGGUCAAAACGGCUAGUCUGUCACCUGCAACCGGUUAGCAGUUCCAUCUCCUGCGCACCCUAACACUCAUUUCUGUUGAAUAUUCAUCUGCCUUGACCGGUUGCCGGUCAAAUAGAAUAAAGUUAUUUCUUAGUAAAGAGAAUAAUCAAAUUUUCAAUAAAAUAAAAUUAAAAAAAGCUUUUGGAAAGUCUCUAGCUGAAGCUUCCUCCAAAUAAAUCACAGAUUGAAAACCCUAAUUUUCCAGUCUCAGCUUUUUGCAGAGCGCCUUAUUGUUUUCUGAGAAAACUUCUUUCAAGGUUUGAAUAUUUAAUUCCUUAAUUUUUUGUUUUUUUGUUUUUUUAUGAUUCUGAUACUGCAUUAUUGAUUCACAAAGAUUGUGUUUUUACGUGUGUUUGUGUGUGUGAAUUAUUCAACAUAAUCUACACAGGAAACCCAUUAAAACCCAUUUACAAAGAUUCUUGAUUUCUGGGUUUUUAUUUUUUAUGGUUUUGGAUAUGAUUAAGCUGAUAGCUUGAUUAAGUUUGUGCAUGGAAAUAUGUGUGUAGGUUUGGUUUGAUAUGUCUGCAAAUUUUAAGGUAGUGUUUGAGGAUUUAUUAUUGUUGGAUUGGUUGUUUUAUUAAUGCUUUUCAUGAAUUCUGAAAGCAUAUAACAUGUUAAUAAGUAAUAGUAAUACAAGGUUCAGACAGAUAUGGUGUUCAAAGCUAUCCAUGUAGACAGAGGAAAUUUUAUAUGUGAAUUCGGUUUAGAAGGGUUUGUUGAAGAACAUUUAUUUAUUUAUANNNNNNNNNNNNNNNNNNNNNNNNNNNNNNNNNNNNNNNNNNNNNNNNNNNNNNNNNNNNNNNNNNNNNNNNNNNNNNNNNNNNNNNNNNNNNNNNNNNNNNNNNNNNNNNNNNNNNNNNNNNNNNNNNNNNNNNNNNNNNNNNNNNNNNNNNNNNNNNNNNNNNNNNNNNNNNNNNNNNNNNNNNNNNNNNNNNNNNNNNNNNNNNNNNNNNNNNNNNNNNNNNNNNNNNNNNNNNNNNNNNNNNNNNNNNNNNNNNNNNNNNNNNNNNNNNNNNNNNNNNNNNNNNNNNNNNNNNNNNNNNNNNNNNNNNNNNNNNNNNNNNNNNNNNNNNNNNNNNNNNNNNNNNNNNNNNNNNNNNNNNNNNNNNNNNNNNNNNNNNNNNNNNNGGAAAAAUUCCCCCCCCCCCCCCCCCCCCCCCCCAAAAGAAAAAAAAAAGUUUUAGUGGUCUAGUGCUGAAGCUCAAUGUUUCAUGUUCUUUUCUUUCUCUUUGAGUUUCUUCUGUAGGUCUAUAAUAUAAGUGCAUUUGUCAAGAGGUGAAGGAGAACAAUCAGUUGUAUUUUAGCUCUAUUAGAGGCUACAUGAAUUUGUCAAUGUCUCAGACUAGUAAUGUAGUUUGUAUAGUGCAAUGAGUCCCAAAAGUCUACAGAGGGACAUGGUUAUUUCGUUUUCUCAACUAAAAAACAAUCGUAGAUAGUAUAACAGUCUUGAAAGUAAUAACUAUGUAAACUUGUUAAAAAUGUGUAAGAGCCUCAUAGUAUGCAUAUAAUUUAAUUAAAUGAAAGUGAGAUCUUUUACUAGUCUCCAGGCGAGUGUGGGAGACAGGUGGAAGAUGUCGUUUUAUAACUCUCUAAAGAUAUCUUUUCUUUGAACGGGACAUUUUUGCAGUUUUUGGUCAUCUUUCAUUGCUAAGCUUGUCUGUCUACCGUAUGGGGGAAUUUGUAAUAUUUGUCAAACACAAUAGAAAUAGAAGCACAAAAUAAUUGAGGCCAGUAAAUAUUUCUUACAUCUUUUUGUUUAUUUUUUUUUCUUUUACCUGACAUAUCUGCCUUAAUAGGAUAUCACAUGGCUAGUGCUAAUCAUAAAAGUGAGCUUGAAUGGAUAGAGAGAGUCAGAUCAGAGGGAGCUGUUCCACUUCUCGAGCCAGAUAACUGUCCAAAUGGCUGGGCUUCCCCGCCUGCAGACAAGUUCAUGGUCAGAGGUCCAGAGUACUUCUCAACCAGAGUUAAAGUUCCCGCUGGUGAAUAUCUUCUAAAGCCUAUUGGCUUUGAUUGGAUUAAAAGCUCCACAAAGAUUAGGGAGGUCUUGAAUGAUCCAAACAACCGAGUUAGGAAAGUUAUCGAGGAUGAGUUUCCAGAAGGCAAUAAGCCUUUUGUUUGGGCUUUCAAUCUACAAGUCCCAAGCAAGGAAAAUUAUAGUGCUGUGGCAUAUUUUGCUGCAGUCAACCCUAUUCCGGAGGGAUCUUUGAUGGAUCAAUUCUUGAAGGGUGACGAUGCAUUUAGGAUGUCUAGGCUUAAAUUGAUAGCCAACAUUGUCAAGGGUCCUUGGAUUGUGAGAACAGCAGUUGGGGAGCAGGCCAUAUGCAUAAUUGGGCGUGCACUUUCCUGUAAGUACUGUUUAGCAGAGAAUUUCUUAGAAGUUGAUGUAGAUAUUGGAUCCUCCAUGGUUGCAAGUGCCAUAGUUCAUCUGGCUAUUGGUUACAUCACAACACUUACUGUUGACCUAGCCUUUCUCAUUGAAAGCCAAACGGAAUCAGAGCUUCCAGAAAGACUAUUAGGUGCUGUAAGAUUUUCCGAGCUAAACCUUGCUUCGGCUCAGCCAAUUGAAUUGUUAUCUGAUAGAAGCGAUGCUAAUUUGCAGUCGUCUCUAUCUACACGAUUGUGGAAGUCAAUUGGGCAGGGUUUUACCAACAUUCUUCAUCCUGGUGCUCAAGAAAGUGGCUCUAG